rnacentral:pre_miRNA from 1 species
AUUGCUACUGUUAACAAUAGUGCUGACCUUUUAGUAAAAGUGGUAAGUGCUAUUUGUUGGGGUAGUUUUA